rnacentral:rRNA from 1 species
CUGAGGCGUGACUUCCAAAGAUAACGCGUUAAGUCGCCCCCCGGGGGAGUGCGGCCGCAGGGUUAAAACUCAAAUGAAUUGACGGGGCCCGCACAAGCGGUGGAGCAUGUGGUUUAAUUCGAUGAACGCGAAGACCCUUCCCUACUCUUGACAUCCAGAGAAGUUACCAGAGAUGGUUUGGUCCCUUCGGGAACUAUGAGACAGGUGCUGCAUGGCUGUUGUCAGCUCGUGUUGUGAAAUGUUGGGUUAAGUCCCGCAACGAGCGCAACCCUUAUCCUUUGUUGCCAGCGGUUAGGCCGGGCACUCAAAGGAGACUGCCAGUGAUAAACUGGAGGAAGGUGGGGAUGACGUCAAGUCAUCAUGGCCCUUACGAGUAGGGCUACACACGUGCUACAAUGGCGCAUACAAAGAGAAGCGACCUCGCGAGAGCAAGCGGACCUCAUAAAGUGGGUCGUAGUCCGGAUUGGAGUCUGCAACUCGCCUCCAUGAAGUCGGAAUCGGUGAGGCAAUCCCGGCGA